rnacentral:rRNA from 1 species
UACGUAGGGGCCUAGCGUUGUCCGGAUUUAUUGGGCGUAAAGAGCUCGUAGGCGGUUUGGUGAGUCGGGUGUGAAAUCUCCACGCUCAACGUGGAGGGGCCACCCGAUACUGCCAUGACUAGAGUCCGGUAGGGGAGUGUGGAAUUCCCGGUGUAGCGGUGAAAUGCGCAGAUAUCGGGAGGAACACCAGUGGCGAAGGCGGCAUCCUGGACCGGUAUUGACGCUGAGGCGCGAAAGCCAGGGGAGCAAACGGG